UACGUAGGCGGAAAAUUAAGUCAGUAGUGAAAUCCUGCAGCUUAACUGUAGAACUGUUAUUGAUACUGGUUUUCUUGAAUAUAGUUGAGGUAGGCGGAAUGUGUAAUGUAGCGGUGAAAUGCUUAGAUAUUACACAGAACACCGAUUGCGAAGGCAGCUUACUAAGCUAUGAUUGACGCUGAGGUACGUAAGCGUGGGGAGCGAACAGGAUUAGAUACCCUGGUAGUCC
rnacentral:rRNA from 1 species